rnacentral:rRNA from 1 species
UGGUCAAGUUAUUAAGGGUGCAGGGCGGAUGCCUUGGCACUAGGAGCCGAUGAAGGACGUGAUAAGCUGCGAUAAGCUUCGGGGAGUUGCACGUAAACUUUGAUCCGAAGAUUUCCGAAUGAGGAAACUCACUUAGAGUAAUGUCUAAGUAUCAUUAAGUGAAUACAUAGCUUAAUGAGGGGAACUCAGGGAACUGAAACAUCUAAGUACCUGAAGGAAGAGAAAGAAAUUCGAUUCCGUAAGUAGCGGCGAGCGAACGCGGAUUAGCCCAAACUAAUAAAGUUUUCUUUAUUGGGGUUGCGGACAUAUCAUAACGAAGAGGCAUCGUAAUUGAAGAGGUUUGGAAAGACCCACCACAGAAGGUAAUAGUCCUGUAUGUUAAACGAGAAGACUUUAGAUAUGAUCCAGAG